AUAUAAAAAUAAAAAAGAAAACUAACAUUGUAUAACAAGUUCAAAACCCACCUAUUGUAACUAUCAAAAUUUUCCUAUAAAAGGGGGAAUAGGUGUAUUUUUGGGCUAAACAAGUGAGCGAGUGGCCCAAAUGAAUAGAAUGAAGUUAAUUAGUGAAAGGGCCUAAUCCAGUAUAGUAGUGAAGCUGAAGAAGUGUUCCACACGCUUGCAUUGCAACCUGAUCCUUCGAGAGCUUGAGCUUGUGCAUAGCUUUUAGUUGCGGGCUGCUGCUGCUGCUUCUUCAUUUUUUCUCUUUGUUGUUACAGACUGCAAUCGCCCACAUACUGGGCUGGUAUUAUAUCUUCUCAUUCCUCAAGCUCUCGCCAAAUUUCUUGUUCUCUUUGUCAGUAUAGCAGUUGCUUGUACUAUGUUGAAAUGAUGUAGUACUAGGAAAAGGAAGAGAAAGAUGCUAAGGGUGGCAGUGGCAUUGGCAUGGCAGAAGAAGAGAGUAGGAGGAAUGAGAAUGCCAUCAAUAGCAGCAAGGGCUGUUCAUGCCUUAAACGAUGAAAACUGCCCAAUUCUGAUAUCUCCAUCUCUUGUCUCAUUAGACCUCCCUGAUAUUUGGGCUUCUAAUCCCACCCCCCAUGACUUUCCUUCCGCUUAUAAAUGCUAAAUUAUCAUAUUCAAUUUUGGUAAAAGUGUCAAGCGCACUAAAGCGCAUAGGCCUCUUGGAGCCUAGACACAAAGCGCAAGCAUGCACUUGAUUGAAGUAAAUCACAUAUAUUUCAAAUAUAAUAUCUAUUAACCUAUAAUAGAAAUAUAUGUAACAUUUAAUAAAAUAAUAUAACUACUCAAAAUUUGUAUAUUUUACCUAUUAGGUAAGAACAAUUGGUUUCUCAAAAAAAAAAGGUAAGAACAAUUGUAUAAUGUUUGUAAGUUCAAAUUUUACUUAAGUUAUUUCAAUUCUUAAAACUUGUAUAUAGUUGAUUGAAAACAAUUAUCAAUGGACAAUAUCAAAAUAAUCAAGUUGUAGAAAGUUUAAACAUAACAUUUUAUAUAAUUCUCGUGUUUCAUAAAAAUACAUAAUCAUGAUGGUUACGAUUGAAUGGUGUAUAUGGUUCAAUCAACAUCUAAAAAUUAGAGACCAAAGAGCACAAGAAUAGUAAAUUAAUUUUGUUCGUAUCUUUUGACAUGUAAAUAAGUAAAUGUUUGUGUAAUACACCUUAAGAAUAGUGUUUGUAUAGUAAAUCAUUGGUCCGUGUCAUUCUUCAUGAUCAAGCAAUUAAUUUUGAUGAUUCAUAUCUUUUUUAGCAAUAAAAUAAAAAGGCGCACCUAGGCAUGCUUUGUGCUUCUUCAAAAAGCGCCAAAAAAGUGUGCCUAAAGCGCGCUUCAUCAAAUGAGCCUUUUUUAUGGCCAUGUGAAGCUCUCAAACCUUGGGGCUCCAAGCUUUGAGCUUUAAGCACUCUUAUAACAACACUGGUUGUAUUUGAUAUAACUCUAUCACUUCUAUUGCACAGAAUCUCAAUGUUGAGCUUUGAAGCAAAUUUGUGACUAGUUUCACACAGAAUGUUGCCAAUGAAUGAGUUCUAGCUCAAAUGGUAUCUGUCUCCCAAAAAAAUACUUAGCAGGUGAACUCACUGCUUGUGUAACUUACCAAUCAAAAGAGAAAAUAUAAUUUGUUUUAUAUCUGAAAGUGCCUACAAAGGUGAUUUUCUUCAUUUGGACAACAGCAUUGAGGAAAAUUUUUAACUGUUGAUAAUUUGUGGAGGUGGCAAGUGGUUGUUGUGGAUUGGUGUUGUAUAUGUAAGCAGAAUGGGAAGCCAUUGAUCACUUACUCCUACAUUGCCCUGUAGCUCGAGAGUUAUGAAAUAUGAUGUAUUCAUUAUAUGGGGUUCAUUAGGUCAUGCCACGUGGUGUAGUGGAGUUCUAGCUAGAUGUUCAGGUAAGUUCAACAAACACUGAGCUGUGGUGAUUUGGAGUAUGAUCCCUCAUUGUCUAAUGUGGGGUAUUUGGAGGGAAAGAAAUGCACGUACUUUUGAAGAGAAUGAAAGA